rnacentral:sRNA from 1 species
GCUAGUCCAGGCUGUGCACUGUAGUCCCAGCUACCAGGAGGCUGAGGCAGGAGGAUUGCUGGGGUCCAGGGAUGUGAGGCCAGCCUGGGUAAUAUAGCAAGGCUCUGUCUCCA